GGGCCGGUAGCUCAGCUUGGUAGAGCAUCUGUCUUUGAAUCAGGUGGUCGAGGGUUCAAAUCCCUUCCGGCCCG
rnacentral:tRNA from 1 species